rnacentral:tRNA from 5 species
GGAGCGAUGGAUGAGUGGUUUAAGUCGCACGCCUGGAAAGCGUGUGUGGGUUAAUAGCCCACCGAGGGUUCGAAUCCCUCUUGCUCCGCCA